rnacentral:lncRNA from 1 species
UAUAUCAUCUUUUGUAUUUGAUGAUCAUAGAUGUAUAAAUGAUGUUAAAUGUAAAAUUUUAUUUUGGAGAUCAUGUGAUGUAAAAGAAAUGAUGAGAAUAAUGUAAAAGAAUUUAAAGGUUGAAUGCAUGUAUGUAGUUAAAAGUUAAUCAUAAUACUUGUAUGGAUGUUCAGUUUAAAAUCUUUCACUUUUGGCUACUGCUUGCCCUUGUGCAAGCCAUGUAUGUUUAUGUUUCCGCAUGCGCAAACUUUAUGCUUGAUUUAUACUUGUGUGGAGCCUUGGACGGACAGGGAAGGUGCUGUCCGUUCGGCGUCUGUUCGACGUGCCC